UACGUAGGGUGCGAGCGUUGUCCGGAAUUAUUGGGCGUAAAGAGCGUGUAGGCGGCCAGGUAGGUCUGCUGUGAAAACUCGAGGCUCAACCUCGAGACGUCGGCGGAAACCAUCUGGCUAGAGUCCGGAAGAGGAGAGUGGAAUUCCUGGUGUAGCGGUGAAAUGCGUAGAGAUCAGGAAGAACACCGGUGGCGAAAGCGCUCUGCUAGGCCGCAACUGACACUCAUGGACGAAAGCUAGGGGAGCGAAUGGG
rnacentral:rRNA from 1 species